rnacentral:ncRNA from 10 species
AACAACAUACAAUGCUGACGGAUUAGUGGAAUUAACCACGUGUAUUGUAUGCGAAGAAACGCCGACCGUCUGGGCAGAAGAU